GUCCUUUUGAUUUUUAUUUAAGGUCUGACCUGCCCACUGAUUUAUUUAAUGGCCGCGGUAUUUUGACCGUGCAAAGGUAGCAUAGUAAUUUGUCUUUUAAUUGAAGGCUUGUAUGAAUGGUUGGACGAGAAAACUACUUUCUUUAUAAUAAAAUUGUUAAUUUUAUUUUUUAGUUAAAAAGCUAAAAUGUUGUUGUAGGACGAGAAGACCCUAUAGAACUUUAUAUUUAUUUUUUUAUUAAUAUUUUUGGUUAAUAAUAUGUUGUAUCUUUAUAAAUAUUUUGUUGGGGCGACAAGAAAAUUUAUUUAACUUUUUUUAUUAAUUUCAUUAAUUAAUGUAUAAAUGAUCCUUUAUUAUGGAUAAUUAGAAUAAGUUACCUUAGGGAUAACAGCGUAAUUUUUUUGGAGAGUUCUUAUCGAUAAAAAAGUUUGCGA
rnacentral:rRNA from 1 species